GCAAAGGUACGUCUUCCCCUGCAUCAAAGGUAAGCUUCUUUUCCUUUAACAUAACUGCGUUCUUGUUUUUGUGAUUACUUGAAAUUUGCAAAUGGCGGUUCUCAAUUUUGCUUUAAUUUCCCUUAAAGUUGAGUUCUUCAAACGUCAAUUCCGAGUUGGAAGAGUUAUUGAUUCUUAGCUAAACGUGCACGUUUCUAUCUUUUGAGACUCUAGCCACUUUGGAUCCUUCAUCAUGUAAUGUGUGGUCUCCGACCGAAAUCUCCAACAGCAACAUCCAGCAGAACUGAUAGUAUGCCCCAUCUAACCCUAGCUCUAUUUUUGUUCUUCCUGUUUUCUUCCUUAUUAACACCUUUCGAUGAGUAUUGAGCAGAUACUUGCAUUUUUAUUUGGAGUAGCUGACUUGCAUAAGUCAACAUAAAACGAGUCUAUAUUUAUUAAACAUAUGUUUUUGUCCUAUUUUCCUCUCUGUAAUGGCUUGUGAUAUAGAAGACAAAUUCACUACAAGUAUGAUUGAAGCAUAAAUCGAGAAACAAUGUCUGAG
rnacentral:lncRNA from 1 species